GAUGAACGCUGGCGGCGUGCCUAAUACAUGCAAGUCGAGCGAACGGACGAGAAGCUUGCUUCUCUGAUGUUAGCGGCGGACGGGUGAGUAACACGUGGAUAACCUACCUAUAAGACUGGGAUAACUUCGGGAAACCGGAGCUAAUACCGGAUAAUAUUUUGAACCGCAUGGUUCAAAAGUGAAAGACGGUCUUGCUGUCACUUAUAGAUGGAUCCGCGCUGCAUUAGCUAGUUGGUAAGGUAACGGCUUACCAAGGCAACGAUGCAUAGCCGACCUGAGAGGGUGAUCGGCCACACUGGAACUGAGACACGGUCCAGACUCCUACGGGAGGCAGCAGUAGGGAAUCUUCCGCAAUGGGCGAAAGCCUGACGGAGCAACGCCGCGUGAGUGAUGAAGGUCUUCGGAUCGUAAAACUCUGUUAUUAGGGAAGAACAUAUGUGUAAGUAACUGUGCACAUCUUGACGGUACCUAAUCAGAAAGCCACGGCUAACUACGUGCCAGCAGCCGCGGUAAUACGUAGGUGGCAAGCGUUAUCCGGAAUUAUUGGGCGUAAAGCGCGCGUAGGCGGUUUUUUAAGUCUGAUGUGAAAGCCCACGGCUCAACCGUGGAGGGUCAUUGGAAACUGGAAAACUUGAGUGCAGAAGAGGAAAGUGGAAUUCCAUGUGUAGCGGUGAAAUGCGCAGAGAUAUGGAGGAACACCAGUGGCGAAGGCGACUUUCUGGUCUGUAACUGACGCUGAUGUGCGAAAGCGUGGGGAUCAAACAGGAUUAGAUACCCUGGUAGUCCACGCCGUAAACGAUGAGUGCUAAGUGUUAGGGGGUUUCCGCCCCUUAGUGCUGCAGCUAACGCAUUAAGCACUCCGCCUGGGGAGUACGACCGCAAGGUUGAAACUCAAAGGAAUUGACGGGGACCCGCACAAGCGGUGGAGCAUGUGGUUUAAUUCGAAGCAACGCGAAGAACCUUACCAAAUCUUGACAUCCUUUGACAACUCUAGAGAUAGAGCCUUCCCCUUCGGGGGACAAAGUGACAGGUGGUGCAUGGUUGUCGUCAGCUCGUGUCGUGAGAUGUUGGGUUAAGUCCCGCAACGAGCGCAACCCUUAAGCUUAGUUGCCAUCAUUAAGUUGGGCACUCUAAGUUGACUGCCGGUGACAAACCGGAGGAAGGUGGGGAUGACGUCAAAUCAUCAUGCCCCUUAUGAUUUGGGCUACACACGUGCUACAAUGGACAAUACAAAGGGCAGCGAAACCGCGAGGUCAAGCAAAUCCCAUAAAGUUGUUCUCAGUUCGGAUUGUAGUCUGCAACUCGACUACAUGAAGCUGGAAUCGCUAGUAAUCGUAGAUCAGCAUGCUACGGGAAUACGUUCCCGGGUCU
rnacentral:rRNA from 1 species